AAUGAACGCUGGCGGCAUGCCUUACACAUGCAAGUCGAACGGCAGCAUGACCUAGCUUGCUAGGUUGAUGGCGAGUGGCGAACGGGUGAGUAAUGCAUCGGAACGUGCCUUUUAGUGGGGGAUAACGUAGCGAAAGUUACGCUAAUACCGCAUAUUCUCUGAUGAGGAAAGCAGGGGACCUUCGGGCCUUGCGCUAGAAGAGCGGCCGAUGUCGGAUUAGCUAGUUGGUGAGGUAAAGGCUCACCAAGGCAACGAUCCGUAGCGGGUCUGAGAGGAUGAUCCGCCACACUGGGACUGAGACACGGCCCAGACUCCUACGGGAGGCAGCAGUGGGGAAUUUUGGACAAUGGGCGCAAGCCUGAUCCAGCCAUGCCGCGUGAGUGAAGAAGGCCUUCGGGUUGUAAAGCUCUUUCGGCUGGGAAGAAAUCGCACCCUCUAAUACAGGGUGUGGAUGACGGUACCAGCAUAAGAAGCACCGGCUAACUACGUG
rnacentral:rRNA from 1 species